CCACUGCUGAGGAGUUCCAGAUUGGGACGAAACGGCCGUCCUGUGC
rnacentral:hammerhead_ribozyme from 1 species